GACGAACGCUGGCGGCGUGCCUAACACAUGCAAGUCGAGCGCCUCGCAAGGGGAGCGGCAGACGGGUGAGUAACGCGUGGGAACAUGCCCAAAGGUACGGAACAACUCCGGGAAACUGGAGCUAAUACCGUAUGUGACCGAGAGGUGAAAGAUUUAUCGCCUUUGGAUUGGCCCGCGUUGGAUUAGCUAGUUGGUGGGGUAAAGGCCUACCAAGGCGACGAUCCAUAGCUGGUCUGAGAGGAUGAUCAGCCACACUGGGACUGAGACACGGCCCAGACUCCUACGGGAGGCAGCAGUGGGGAAUAUUGGACAAUGGGCGCAAGCCUGAUCCAGCCAUGCCGCGUGUGUGAUGAAGGCCUUAGGGUUGUAAAGCACUUUCGCCAGGGACGAUAAUGACGGUACCUGGAUAAGAAGCCCCGGCUAACUUCGUGCCAGCCGCCGCAGUAA
rnacentral:rRNA from 1 species